rnacentral:rRNA from 1 species
UGCCGCCUCCCGUAAUCUGGCGCACGUUUACGAACGUCACGCUUGAACCAGACCAGACGCUUGAGCGCAUCACGUCCGGGCUGUUCGGCGCACUGAUCGAGCCGCGUGUCCACUCGGGGAUUGCUGGCGUGUUGUGGACAAUCACGCCGGAUAUGAUCCCGUCAACGGGCGGCACAAUUCAGUUCCAAUUGUUUGGCGUUGGCACGCGAUUGCCAACGCAUACGUUGCGCGUCGAAGCCGGGCCGACCUCAACCGUCGUGAAGGAUGAAACCGGCUCGACGAUUGACACCGUUAGUCACACGAUUGCGGGCGGCGAUACCUAUUAUUUAGAGGUCAGCGGAAACAUCUUUCGGCUGGCAAUCAAUGGCGUCACAGAGACAAUUUACGAAGUCACAUCUCCCACGGAGUACCCGAUUCGGGCCACCGUGUAUGGUGAUAAUUCUUUUGUCAGUAGUCCGGCCAUCAUCACGCCGCCAACAUUCAGGGCUGCGUGCCGGAGCACGAACUCCUGCAUCUUGUCCAGCGUGCGUGCGUCACUCAAUGCCAGCAGUACGCGCCCGCGGCCGUACAGCUCGCCGGCCAUCUUCGUCGCACGCGCCACAAUCGUCGGAGGACCUAUCAAACUCCGAAUGCCAUAGGUCAGAAUACGGCAGUUAGGCGAUGGGGGCGAAGCUCCAUACGCCAAAAGGGAAACAGCCCAGACCGCCAUCUAAGGUCCCUAAAUACAUGCUCAGUGCUAAUAAGGAGGUGAGAUUUCUCAGACAGUGAGGAUGUUGGCUUAGAAGCAGCCACCAUUCAAAGAAAGCGUAACAGCUCACUCACUUAGAGAUCUUGCGCCACAAAUGAUCGGGGCUUAAGCAUGUUACCGAAGAUGCGGAUUGUAGCUCUCAAUCUUGUCCUUGAACGGACAGAUCGAGUGCAGGAUUGAGAGCUACAGUGGUAGGAGAACGUUCUGUGUGCGAUGAAGCCAAAGAGGUGACUCAUGGUGGAGCGCACGGAAGUGAAAAUGUUGGCACGAGUAACCGCAAUGCGAGUGAGAUUCUCGCACGCCGAAAGAACAAGGUUUCCUUCGCAAUGGAGAUCAUCGAAGGGUUAGCCGGUCCUAAGCCGAUGGCGACAGCCGCAGGCGAUGGAGGUGGGGUUAAUAUUCCCCAGCUUGUGCGUAGUGCGAUGGAGUGACGGAGUGCUGUAUCGUAGGCCCGUUAAGGAUUCGGGUGUGAGCCGUGAUUGUGCCGUAUAGGAAAAUCCGUACGGUAAGCGAGAGCGGAACAUAAAUGGGGAGUCCUCGGACGAACCAGAUCUACGGGAGCGCGCUUCCAAGAAAAACUUCUAAGCAUAACUACGUACGAUCCGUACCGCAAACCGACACAGGUGUUCAGGGCGAGUAGCCCAAGGCGAACGAGUGAGAGAUCCUCAAGGAACUCGGCAAAAAAGCGACCGUAAGUUAGCGAUAAGGUCCGGCCUGCGCAAGCAGGCUCGCAGCUAAAGAUUCCCAACCGACUGUUUACCAAAAACACAGCUCCCUGCAAACUCGUAAGAGGAAGUAUAGGGGGUGAUGCCUGACCAAUGCCGGAAGGUCAACCAUGAUCGUUGCGUGCCGCAAGGUACGUGGUGAAUUAUGUAAGCCCCGGUCAAUGUCGGCGAUAACUAUAAUCGUCCUAAGGUAGCGAAAUUCCUUGUCUGGUAAGUUCAGACGCGCACGAAUGGUAUAACGAGUUGGGAACUGUCUCGGGGAUUUGCUCGGUGAAAAUACAAGGGCGGUGAAGAUGCCGCCUUCCUGCAGCUAGACGAAAAGACCCCAGAAGCUUUACUGUAGUUUGAUAUUGGGAAUACGAGUGCUCUGCGUAGCGUAAGGGGGAGACUUUGAAGCAGUGACUUUGGUUGCUGUGGAGUCGCCAAUGCAACACCAUCUUUUGUUUCUGUAAUUUCUAACCCCUAUGGAGAAACCAUAGGGAGACAGUAUGUGGCAGGCAGUUUCGGUGGGGCGCUGUCCUUAACUUUCAGCGUCACAGGUUCGAAUCCACGGAUGUGUUCACGUCCGACGAAUCAAAAUAAAAUUAAAGGGGGACAUGCGUGAGCAAUCACGCAAUGAACAUUCAACUAUAUGCUGGAACACCCGCGCAUAUUCGGGUACUCGCAAGAGUAACAAUCCCGGAGCGAUGCGGAUUAUCAGCAGGCAACCACAAUUGGUGGGAGCCUCAGAGACUACACGUUGGACAUCCAUCUAAACAGUGGAUGAAGAUAUAGUCCGACCUCUAUGGCGACAUAGAGAAUACGACAGAAAUGAUCGUAUCCAUCUUCCAAAAGAUGCGUAACACAGGCCUAAAAAGUAACGGAGGAGCCUAUUAAGGUCGGCUAGGCGCGAAUGGAAACCGUGCCGAUAGUGUAAUGGCAUAAGGCGGCUUGACUGCAAGGGGUACGUCCCAAGCAGGCGCGAAAGCGGAGCAUAGUGAACCGACCCUCUGCAUUAGAUGCAAGGGAAGAUUAACGGAUAAAAGUUACUCUGGGGAUAACAGGCUGGUAUUGCCUAA